CCAGCGAAACGACUUGGUUUGCGGAAGGCCGCCUCUGCGACGUCUCUCCUCGCACGCUCUGAAGACCGCUGCGCACAGCAUCCCGUCCCAGGAACGUCCUGGCCCAGCGAUGCAAAGAACUGACGUUGCAAGGUUUUAUUUCUAUUGCUAGACGGCCCCCAGCCGGAUGGCCCCCAGCGCCAGCGGCGUCCCCCGUGGGAUCUUCUCUCUCCUCGUCCAGCCCGCCCAAGUGCUGUCCUUAAGAAGCCUACAGCUGGAAGAGCCUGUAUUGUCCUCAUAAUCAUAUAGAAGAAUCCGAGAUAAGAGAGGCAGUUAGCAGCAGCGAAUGAAGACUGUAAAAGAAAAGAAGAAGGAAUGCCAAAGAUUAAGAAAAUCUGCCAAGACCAAGAGGCUAGCCCAGAAGAAGCCAUCUUCAGGACCUGUUUGUCGGCUGUGUUUUCAAGAACCUGGAGAUCCUGAAAAGUUAGGGGAAUUUCUUCAGAAAGACAAUCUCAGCGUGCAUUAUUUCUGCCUUAUCCUAUCUAGCAAGCUGCCUCAGAGGGGCCAGUCCAACAGAGGGUUCCAUGGAUUCCUGCCUGAAGACAUCAAGAAAGAGGCAAUCCGGGCUUCUAGGAAGGUCUGCUUUGUGUGCAAGAAAAAGGGAGCUGCCAUCAAUUGCCAGAAGGACCAGUGCUUCAGGAACUUCCAUCUGCCUUGUGGCCAAGAAAGGGGUUGCCUUUCACAAUUUUUUGGAGAGUACAAAUCAUUUUGUGGAAAACAUCGCCCAACACAGGACAUCCAUCGGGAGAAUGUGAGGGAGGAGAGCUGUGUCUUGUGUUGUGAAGAUUUAUCCCAGACGAGUGUUGAGAACAUCCAGAGCCCGUGUUGCAGUCAAGCUGUCUACCACCGCAAGUGCAUCCAGAAAUAUGCCCACACAUCAGCAAAGCAUUUCUUCAAAUGUCCACAGUGUAACAAUCGAGAAGAGUUUCCCCAAGAAAUGCUAAGAAUGGGGAUUCAUAUUCCAGACAGAGAUGCUGCCUGGGAGCUUGAGCCAGGGGCUUUCUCGGAGUUAUAUCAGCGCUAUCAGCAUUGUGAUGCCCCCGCCUGUCUGUAUGAGCAAGGCAGAGACAGCUUUGAGGAUGAAGGGAGGUGGUGCCUCGUUCUGUGUGCUACCUGCGGAUCCCGUGGAACCCACAGGGGCUGCUCAGCUCUCAAACCCAACAGUAAGAAAUGGGAAUGUGAGGAAUGUUCACCUGCUUCAGGCACAGGACACCACACUGCACCGAGUUAUCCCAUGUCUACCUUCCUCUUGGCGCUGAGUUUGCCAGACUUCUCUUGCUAUUGAUGACCUUGAAGCUUUUGAGAACUAGUCAGCACUUUUUUCGCUUCUGACGAGAGCCAGCCUUUGAACAUGACCUGGCUUCCUCUGUGCCUCCAGUGGCCCACUGGCCCUGGGCCCUCAGCGCAGCUUUCCAGAGGACUACGGUGGUGCCCAAGGAGGCGGCCAAGGAUGCAGGAAGAUGACGUCGUAGGUCCCAUCCUCAGCUUCCACGCGGUCCACCACAAUCUGGCGCAGCUGCUGGGCCAGACGCGGCCCACGCGGCUGACGGUGACACGGCCCGGGCCGCCGUCAGGUGAGGGGACCGUCUCGGAGAAGAAGAAGUACACCUUGUCAUCAGCAUGGUCGGAGUUGUCAGGGAUGCGGGCAGCCAUAAUGAACCGGGGAUCUGGACAGGACCUGCAACACAGCCUGGCUGACUGCACUGGGCUCAACGUCCCAGUUUCCCCAUCUGGACUCUCCUUGCCGCUGGGUCAAGCUUACCUCUCGGGGGUCUGGCCAUGCCUGGCCCAGCCGCAGCGAGUAGAGGGCAUCGCGGCCCCCCAGAAAGAGGCGAUCUCGGUACUCAUCCAGCCCAGGCCACCUGCCCUCCAGGUCAGGCUGUGACCUUCUGCGUGGGAGACCUCUACUGCAUGAGCUCCCCUGGGGGCCUCCUCCGUGCCCGGGCUGGGAACGGGCUUCUUGCGCCUGUGAUAGCUGUGUUUGCGCGCUCUGCCUCCACCUGCUUUCAUGUCCCUGCCACCUGUCUCGGAGGCAUCUGCACACAGGGACAAGAGUCUGCUCGUCCUCCGUGCACUCGCACAGCGUCACCUGAGUCAGUCCUGGGGCCCCCCGGGCAAACCUGCAUCGAGCGAGGAGCUACAAAACCACCGGCGGGGGAGCUCUGCAGAGGGGUCCGGGUCUUGGGGCAGAGGCUGAGGAAGUGUCACCCUCUGGCAGGGGCCGGGAAGCUCAUGGCCGCUGGCGAGGUCUCAGGCUCCCGGGUCGGAGCGGACGUAGGGGGGACGCUGGGCAGCACGAGGGCACGUGAAGGAAUAGCGCCCCCUCCGUGCUGACUUCCGGGGCGCGCUUGCUAUGCUGUGGUUAGUUCAGAUGUUAGCAUUUGGGGAACUUGGGUGAAGGGCAAGCGGGAGCUUUCUGUGCUAUUUUUGCAAGUCUGGGAUUUCAAAAUGUGAAACCCACUAGAUGAGCACAGGGGCCUCCGCUUCCCAGUACCCCACCGUGGAACCUGUGCCUCCCCGGCUUCCAGAGCCCGGGAAUUGGCAGUUGGGCCAAAAGUCUAGGAGUCACUCCCGCCUCUUACUUCCUGCCUCUAUGCCCAUUCCUUCAGCAAGUUCUGCCCGUUCUGGUUCCAAAACGUGCCCUGAGCCCCUGCACCCCACUCCCUUCCCACAGCAUCGUCCCACCCUGCCCCAGCCCAGGGGGGGCUCCUGCUGCCCCCACCUCCCCCUCACCUGGACUGAGUUUCUCGUGGGGCCUGGCCCUGACCCCCUUCUCCCAAACCUGCUGAGGGAGGCUUGACUCCUUUCCCUUGCCCCACCGUGGCCAGUUUCCUGUGGUUCUUCAAGCCUUGCUCAAAGGAUCAACAACUUCAGGAAGCCCUCCCAGACUACCUGCGGGCCCAGCACGCCUCUGCAGUCUCUAUUCCAGCCCCACACUGGUGCUCCCAUUGCGCUCGCUUCACUCUUGGUCUCCGUGGGUUGACCAGGCUUCACUCAUGCAUCCCAGCACCCACCAUGGCCAGGCCCAUGGCAGGUGUGUGAGUAAAAGGUGGGUGUGCUGUCGGGGGCUGUCCACUGUGGCCCUUUCAUCUCUCUGGCUGCCCCUGCAUGUCUGUAGGGCUCCCCGAGUUCUCCAGCUCCCAGGGCAGGCCUGAGGCUCCCGGGCAGCUCCUGGCAGCUCUGGCCCCCACCAGAAGCAUCCCCAGAAUUCCAAGAGUGUCUCUGGAAUGCCAGGCCUGUGUGGGGAAUUGCCUGGGUGGAGGCACAGGUGCAGAGGCCGGGACAGCUGCGGGCAUUCUGGCUGGAGCCUGGGUGCCGGCGGCAGCUGCCCCUCCUGGGAGUGCCACCGCUGACACCUCGGCCUCCCUGCAGCCCCCACCGCCUCCCAGGGCGAGCCCCCCUGUGCUGGCACCGCUCUGGCCCGGGGAAUCUGCACUGAGCUCAGAGGCCCCUGCCAGCCGCCAGCCUCUAAGAGUCACAGGAACCGGCCCAUCACACAGAGCCCCAGCCAGGCAGCUUCACUCUUCUUCAAACUCCGGGGUGUCCUGCACGGUCCCGGCACCUCUCGAGGUCCCUGGGGUCCCGCCUGUGAAAUGGGCGAGGGGAAGCAGGGCCGACGCGACGCCCCUCGGUCCCCAGGAGCUGAUGUUUCUGUGGGUCGGAGCCAGGGCCUGCUGGGUCCCACAGGGCCAGCUUCCCCGCAGGCAGAGCUGAGAGGCACUGCACUGCCGGCUCCCUUCAAGGAGAGAAGCUCUGGGCUGCCACCUGCCCUGACCACAGCUGCGUCCCAGAAGCUUGUGCGAAUGCAUUACUUCAGCCAUAGAAAGCAGUGUGCAGAGCGUGGAGCACGGCCACAGGCCCUGAGAGACUCCAAGGCUUCCCGCAGGGGCUGGGGAUCCAGAGCAGGCGCAGACCCCGGGAAGGGCGCGGGCACCGGGAGGGGGCAGUCAGAGGCAGGCAGGCCACUGGGGGGCAAGGCUUUAUUCACACCGCAGGCCGGGGAGGGAUCCAGGGUCGGGGCGAGGGGCGGCUGACCCUCACGGCCCCGCCCCGGCGCCACCCCAGCUGGAGUCGGAGCAUCUGGGCGGCUCCCGCUGAAGGCUGGGUCUAUUCCACACCCUUCAUGAAUUCCAGGAACUCUGUGGAGAGAGGGCCAGGAGGCAGUGAGCGGGCCGCCGGGCAGGGCACGGCGGCAGGGCCCCGGCCCCCGCUCACCGUCGUAGUCGAUGCGGCCGUCGUUGUUCUUGUCGCCGUCCUUCAUGAGCUCCUCGAUGUCGUCCUCCGUGAUGGUCUCGCCCGUGGCCUGCAGCAUGAUCUUCAGCUCGUCCAGGUCGAUGUAGCCGUCGGCGUUUCUGAGGGGGAGCCGGGGCUGCAGCUUGUGGGGAGGGCCGGAGGCACCCCUCACCCCCCUCACACAGGGUCCCUUCAUCUCAAAUUGGAGGCUGCCCACUGCCCCAGUUCUGCCCGGUCAGGGUGGCAGGCUCAGAGGUCAAGAGCAGCGUGCUCACUUGUCAAACAUGCGGAAGAGGUCAGACAGCUCCUCCUCGGAUUUCCCUUUGCUGUCGUCCUUCAUACAGCGGACCAUCAUGACCAGGAACUCGUCGAAGUCCACCGUGCCGCUGCCUGUGAUGCGGGCGGCAUGCCGUGAGGCAGCGGCCUGGACACAAGCCCCACGUUCUCCCUGCACCCUCACACCGCCUCUUGGAGGCGAGCGUGGUCAGUAUGCCCAUUUGACAGACGAGACAACUGAGGCUCAAACAGGCUAAACAGCCACUGGACAGACAGAGCCAGGCCUGACCCCAGCGAGACGGGCAGGCGGGGCUCACCGUCUUCGUCCACCUCGUCGAUCAUCUCCUGCAGCUCCUCGGGCGUGGGGUUCUGGCCCAGCAUCCGCAUCACCUUGCCCAGCUCCUUGGUGCUGAUGCAGCCAUCCUCCGCGCCCAGCACGAAGAUGUCGAAGGCCGCCUUGAACUCUGCAUCAACAAGGUGGGGCCGGGGACAGAGAGAGAGCAGCGCGUCUCAGCAGCCAGGACCCCAGAGGGCCAGCUGCCAAGCUGCCUUCUUCCCUCUGAGACCGCUGAGGUGCCAGCCAGGGGGCCCAGCUUCUGGCCUCCAGCUGGGACUCCUCUCCUGGGACUCCCCCAGCCUGGCCCUGCUGUCCCCAGCAGUGCAGCAGGGGACACUCACCAUUUUUCUGCUCUUCUGUCAGCUGCUCUACCUAGGGAGGAAAAGGGGUCUCAGGACACAGACUCAGGCCUUGGCUGCUUUCGAGGGAAGCAACUGUCCCACAGGUGGGAAGGCUGAAGCCAGGAGCCAGGCCACCAAGAAGAGACCUCAGCCCUCCCUUCCUGUCCCAAAGCCCUGAGGUGACACAGCUGGCCUCACUGAGGCUGGGCUCGGGGCCAGGGUGACAGGUGGGCACCCCCUCCAGGGCCAAGGUGACCCGGGGUAACAAUAGCCAGUGACCACUCAACGCCCUUUCAGCCUCCCUAAUGAAACCCAAGCUGCGAGGCCUGAAGGACAGCUGUCCCUCAGGCUGGGACAAUAAAACUCGGGUGGGGACGGGCAAAGCCACCCUCUGUAACCUGA